CUACGGGAGGCAGCAGUGAGGAACAUUGCACAAUGGAGGAAACUCUGAUGCAGCAACGCCGCGUGGAGGAUGACGCAUUUCGGUGUGUAAACUCCUUUUAUAUGUCAAGAAAAUGACGGUAGCAUGUGAAUAAGCACCGGCUAACUCCGUGCCAGCAGCCGCGGUAAUACGGAGGGUGCAAGCGUUACUCGGAAUCACUGGGCGUAAAGGACGCGUAGGCGGGAUAUCAAGUCAGGUGUGAAAUCCUACAGCUUAACUGUAGAACUGCACUUGAAACUGGUAACCUAGAGCAUGGGAGGGGGAGAUGGAAUUAGUGGUGUAGGGGUAAAAUCCGUAGAUAUCACUAGGAAUACCUAAAGCGAAGGCGAUCUCCUGGAACAUAACUGACGCUAAGGCGUGAAAGCGUGGGGAGCAAACAGGAUUAGAUACCCCCGUAGUC
rnacentral:rRNA from 1 species